rnacentral:sRNA from 1 species
ACAUGCUUGCUUCCCCUUCACCUUCCUCCAUGAUGUGGGAAGAGUGCUGCAACCCAGCCCUAACCAACGCCGCAUGAGAGGGACUGUGCUGCAGGCUUCUGAGAAGGUUUCUCUCACAUCUAGAAAGAAGCUUUUAAAAUGCGGCAGCCCCUCUUCUUCAAGUGGCUCUUGUCCUGUUGCCCUGGGAGUUCUAAAAUUGCUGCAGCAGCCUCCACCCAGCCUGAGGAUGACAACAAUACACAGAGGAAGAAGAGUCAGGAAAAGAUGAGAGAAGUUACAGACUCUCCUGGGUGAUCCCCAGAGCUUACCAUUCCUCAGACUUCUUGAUAUGGUGCUAACAGAUUUUUACCAUUGAAAUGACAUACUGCAUCCUAUAGUUAUACUAUCCACUUUGAAAUCAAUGUGAAUUUAACUUUGAUUCCAUACAAAAGCUCUUCUUUUCCACAGCAAGCUGGAGUGUGAUGGUGCAAUCCCAACUCACUGCAACCUCAGCUUCCCAAGUUCAAGCUAUUUUCCUGGCUUAGCCUCCCGAGUAGCUGGAAUUACAGGUGUGCGCCCCUAUGC